rnacentral:rRNA from 1 species
UACGUAGGGUGCAAGCGUUGUCCGGAAUUAUUGGGCGUAAAGAGCUCGUAGGCGGUUUGUCGCGUCUGCUGUGAAAACCCGAGGCUCAACCUCGGGCCUGCAGUGGGUACGGGCAGACUAGAGUGCGGUAGGGGAGAUUGGAACUCCUGGUGUAGCGGUGAAAUGCGCAGAUAUCAGGAGGAACACCGGUGGCGAAGGCGGGUCUCUGGGCCGUAACUGACGCUGAGGAGCGAAAGCGUGGGGAGCGAACAGG